rnacentral:miRNA from 1 species
GCUGCGGGCUGCGGUCAGGGCG